AUUGAACGCUGGCGGCAGGCCUAACACAUGCAAGUCGAACGAGUGGCGGACGGGUGAGCAAUGUCUGGGAAAAUGCCUGAUGGAGGGGGAUUACUACUGGAAACGGUAGCUAAUACCGCAUACCACCAGAUGUGGCCAGAUGGGAUUAGCUGGUGGGUGGGGUAACGGCUCACCAAGGCGACGAUCCCCAGCUGGUCUGAGAGGAUGACCAGCCACACUGGAACUGAGACAGUGUGCAGACUCCUGCGCGAGGCAGCAGUGGAGAAUAUUGCACAAUGGGCGCAAGCCUGAUGCAGCCAUGCCGCGUGUAUGAAGAAGGCCUGCGGGUUGUAAAGUACUUUCAGCGGGGAGGCGUUACCCGCAGAAGAAGCACCGGCUAACUCCGUGCCAGCAGCCGCGGUAAUAC
rnacentral:rRNA from 1 species